GUAGGGUGCAAGCGUUAAUCGGAAUUACUGGGCGUAAAGCGUGCGCAGGCGGUUGGGUAAGACAGAUGUGAAAUCCCCGGGCUUAACCUGGGAACUGCAUUUGUGACUGUCCGACUGGAGUACGUCAGAGGGGGGUGGAAUUCCGCGUGUAGCAGUGAAAUGCGUAGAUAUGCGGAAGAACACCGAUGGCGAAGGCAGCCCCCUGGGACGCAACUGACGCUCAUGCACGAAAGCGUGGGGAGCAAACAGGAUUAGAUACCCUGGUAGUCCACGCCCUAAACGAUGUCUGCCGGUUGUUGGAGAUUUGUAUCUUCAGUAACGAAGCUAACGCGUGAAGCAGACCGCCUGGGGAGU
rnacentral:rRNA from 1 species